rnacentral:rRNA from 1 species
UGGGGAAUAUUGGACAAUGGGGGGAACCCUGAUCCAGCAAUGCCGCGUGUGUGAAGAAGGCCUGAGGGUUGUAAAGCACUUUCAGAGGGGAGGAGGACUAUUAGGUUAAGAGCUAGAUAGUUGGACGUUACCCUCAGAAGCAGCACCGGCUAACUCCGUGCCAGCAGCCGCGGUAAUACGGGGGGUGCAAGCGUUAAUCGGAAUUACUGGGCGUAAAGGGCGCGUAGGCGGCCCUCUAAGUCAGACGUGAAAUCCCCCGGCUUAACCUGGGAACUGCGUCUGAUACUGGAGGGCUUGAGUAUGGGAGAGGGAUGUAGAAUUCCAGGUGUAGCGGUGAAAUGCGUAGAUAUCUGGAGGAAUACCGGUGGCGAAGGCGGCAUCCUGGACCAUUACUGACGCUGAGGCGCGAAAGCUAGGGGAGCAAACGGGAUUAGAUACCCUUGUAGUCCCUGAGCGGGCUGGCAAGGCGCAU